AUUUAAUGCUUUAUUUUUUUAUACAUUUCACAAAAAUCUGUACAGAAAAAAAGCCCUUUUUUUUACACACAUUUAAUCACCAGUACCUUUAAAAACCCUCAUUUUAAUUCUGAAGCCGCAUUCAGGGGUUUGGAGCUGCUGGUUAGGAGAUCAUGCAGAAACACACAAAUUAUAAUGGCCCUUUACACACACACACACACACACACACACACACACACACACACACACACACACACACACACACACACACACACACACACACACACACACACACACACACACACACACACUUAUAGGCAAACACAGUUACAGUCACA